rnacentral:misc_RNA from 1 species
CGCCCUCAAAGUUUAAGCUUGGGGCCCAAAGCACAUGGAGAUUGGGUAGCCUUGUAAUACUAUCAGGCAACUUGCCAUCAAAAUAGUUAAACUCCCCCUCCCCACGCUCCUCUUCUUCAACUGUCGAGCUUGAAAAAUCUGUUGACCACAAGGGACCAACGUUAUUUUUUAGUACAAGCAGCUUUAACUGCUGACAGUUGCCCAACUCAGGCGGUACAAUCCCACUCAAGAAAUUUCUAGACAAGUCAAGCACUUCAAGAUUUCCCAAUUGCCCAAGAGUAGAAGGAAUAUUAUCUUGCAACAAAUUUGAAGACAAAAUCAAAGACGGAAGCUCUUUGCAUUUCCCUCAAUUAGAAGGAAUUGAACCUGAAAGUAAAUUCCCAUGAAGAAGAAGAUGCUUAAGGUUCCCACAAUUGGCACCCAAAUCAUCCGGAAUAUAUAACUGCUCAACGAAAUUUACCCACUGCUCCACCAUUUGUCACUGUUGAAGUUGAAGAAAGAGAAACAAGAGGGCAUUUAAAAUUGUUAUUGGAGACUCGACUAGAAAGAGGGUCGCAGGUAAUACCAUGCUAGGAACAAGGGUAUGGAUCCUUAAGGGAGGUGAGCCCUAAUGAGUCUUUAAUGAUUGCAAAUUCGAAUAGUAGCAAUGACUGCUUAUCAUCAACGCUGGAAGCUGCCAAACCAACUAAACUGUACACAAUUAGAACAAAAAAAAGAACAACUUACACAACGGACCAUCGUUAAGUGGUAAUGAUUAGAAUUGAGUGGCAAUAUAUAUAUUUUUUUUUUGGUUUUAAUUGAGGAGAGAGAAGAGAUGGUGAAGAAGAAGAAGCUCCUAAACCUCCCCUCAAAGUUUAGAAAAGAACCCUGAAUCUGAG